rnacentral:rRNA from 1 species
UACGUAGGUGGCAAGCGUUGUCCGGAUUUACUGGGCGUAAAGAGCGCGCAGGCGGUCUUUUAAGUCGAAUGUGAAAGCCCCCGGCUCAACUGGGGAGGGUCAUUCGAUACUGAUCGACUUGAAGGCAGGAGAGGGAGGUGGAAUUUCAGGUGUAGCGGUGAAAUGCGUAGAUAUCUGAAGGAACAUCAGUGGCGAAAGCGACCUCCUGGACCAAUACUGACGCUCAGGUGCGAAAGCGUGGGGAGCAAACAGG